AAAACCAGCAAAAAGAGUAACAAAUCUUUACACCAAAAAACUUAAGAUAUGUUUCAAGUUAGUCCGUGCUCCUGUUUGGUAUACUCACUCAGUUUGGUCGUUUGAUGUAGUUGUAUUAGUUCCCCUUGCUAGGUUUGUUCUAGCUCAUUUCUUCUGGCUAGCUUGUUAGUCUGUUGGCUAGGUUUUUGUUGUGUAGCUAAGUUAGCUAGCUAGAGUCAAAACAGGUGCAAAGUACUUUUUUUCUACUCUGAAUGAAUAGAGUUGUUCAUAUCUUGUCUGGAAUUAUUUUUCAGAUUAGAGUGUUUAUCUCAUUCUAAAAAUCGGGGAGAAAAAAAAUAAAUAUAUCAGGAGCUCAUGUUGAGUAUGUCUCUCUCCCUCUCUCCCUCUCCCUCUCCCUCUCUCUGAUACUGUGGUGGAGACCAAGCUCUCAGACCUUUGUGAGGGAGGACACUGUGGAAGACAUGUCACCUAUGCACCAAGUUGUCAGUAGGUGAUGUUCUCUCAAUGACAAGGACAGGGAAGGACUUUUGAGACCUGAUGCUGAGGCUCGAAAGGGCUGAGGGAAACACACACAAGACCGACCAGAAAAGUGCAGUGCUCUUACAGACGUUAAGGAGUUGGAGGAGAUUGAGAGAAGAGUGUCUCUCAGGCUAUAGAUCUUGGCUGAGUCCUACACUUCAACCUCCAUCAUUUGUCUAUGUCCUACACUUCAACCUCCAUCAUCUGCAGUUGUUACAGGCCAAGUCUCCAGGGGCCACAGCCAGUUCCGUGCCACCACCAGCUUCGUAUGCCAGGGAAUGUACCCCCAGUAGCCUGUGAUGGGGCAGUGUUGCCAGGCCUCCUCAGUGAUCCGAGAGCUGAAGCAGAGAGAGGGUCUCCGGCUGCAGGAACUGGGGCAGAUGAGGCAGGCCAAGCGGGAGGAGAUCCAAGGAGAAGACAGCCAGCAGGCCGGAGGGGGUUGGAGUUGUCUUCAUCCCCCCUCUCCCUCUCAAGAGAUAAAAACUAACAGGAUGCUACUGUAUUGCCUACACUUUCCAUCAUCAUGUCUCUCUUGGGUUUCUCUCUCUUGGGUUGGUUGCACCUUUUAAUGAAAUGAGGGUAAAUGUAUUUAUUAAUUUAAUGUUUAGUGUAUGUGUUUGUGCCUGCACCAGUGUCUGUGUGUAUUUCUGUAAUCCACUGUGGGAGAGAAGAUAAAGACCGGUCUGGAGAGGA